rnacentral:rRNA from 1 species
GACAGAGGGUGCGAACGUUGUUCGGAAUUACUGGGCGUAAAGCGCGUGUAGGCGGCCGCGUAAGUCGGGCGUGAAAUCCCACGGCUCAACCGUGGAAGUGCACUCGAAACUGCGCAGCUAGAGUCCUGGAGAGGAAGGUGGAAUGCUUGGUGUAGAGGUGAAAUUCGUAGAUAUCAAGCGGAACACCGGUGGCGAAGGCGGCCUUCUGGACAGUGACUGACGCUGAGACGCGAAAGCGUGGGGAGCAAACAGG